CUUUUAGAACACGUUCCUUCCCGGAACGAGGUAUAGGUGUAAAUCCUAUCUUCCGCUCCAUAAUUGCUUCCAAAGGGAAG
rnacentral:tRNA from 1 species